rnacentral:rRNA from 1 species
GACAGAGGGGGCAAGCGUUGCUCGGAAUUACUGGGCGUAAAGGGCGCGUAGGCGGCCUGAUAAGUAGGGGGUGAAAUCCUGCGGCUUAACCGCAGGGCUGCCUUCUAAACUGUCAGGCUAGAGCACAGUAGAGGCAGGUGGAAUUCCCGGUGUAGCGGUGGAAUGCGUAGAGAUCGGGAAGAACAUCAGUGGCGAAGGCGGCCUGCUGGGCUGUUGCUGACGCUGAGGCGCGACAGCGUGGGGAGCAAACAGG